rnacentral:rRNA from 1 species
UACGUAGGGGGCAAGCGUUGUCCGGAUUUAUUGGGCGUAAAGAGCGUGUAGGCGGCCACCGCAAGUCGGUUGUGAAAUCUCCGGGCUUAACCCGGAAAGGUCAAUCGAUACUGCGGGGCUAGAGUGCAGAAGGGGCAACUGGAAUUCUCGGUGUAGCGGUGAAAUGCGUAGAUAUCGAGAGGAACACCUGCGGCGAAGGCGGGUUGCUGGGCUGACACUGACGCUGAGGCGCGAAAGCCAGGGGAGCGAACGGG